GCGGCUCCGUCUGGUCGGUCGAUUGAUGAUUCCGCCGCCCUGCGUGAAAUCUCGGACCUGCGGACGCUGAGGCUCCGCUCCGCGGGUGAGGACGCGGCCAGGAAGGGACCCUGAGAACACGGGGCGCCGGUGAGGGGGUGCAGGCUCGCUGCGUCCCGGUGGGACCCCCAGGAUUUCAGCACAAGUCACCCUGAGGCACAGGAUUGACAGCAUAGGUCAAAAGCUGAGAUUCUCCGCAGCAAUCAUGGACCACAAGUGGAGCACUCACUGAGCCUGGGCAGGCCCACCCUUCCCAGAGCCUCAGGACUCCAAGGGGAAGGAGGAGAUCCCCCAAAGGAAGGACAGGAGUUUCCCAUCUAUUAGGUGGAGACAUUAAGUGUGAAGAAGAGACACAAUGCAACAAAGGAAGAGUUGUGGCUAAUGCUUGGCAGCUCUCAGUGCUCAGUAAAGGAGAAGAAGAGGAAGUGGGAAAAGAGAAGAGAAAGAGGUCUCUUCCUGGCUUGGCUGCCUGCUUCUGUGGCCAGCCUGAUACCACAGGCCCAGUUUCCGCCAGACUGAAGUGCCGGGGGUGGCAGGGAGGAGGUGGCCCCCAUAGAGACUAUUUCAGUCAGAGACAGCGCUGCCAAGAAGCAGAGGAAGCUGCCCGUCUCUCCAUGACUGGAGGUGUUGCCGUCUGCCAAGGACAGGACUGGGGGUGCCUCGGCCCUGGCUUCCCUUUGCCGCAACACGCCUGAGCCCACCAACCUGCUGCGGGGACAGAGACUGCAUGGUCCUCCAUGCUCCUCUGAAAGGCUCCUUGCAUCCUGCAGGCCACACUAGUCUCCCCUUGGGCUACCACAGGCAACGUCUACAUCUACACACUGCCCUGUGGCCUUGAGUGUCCAGCAGGCAGCAAGGCAAGGUCUGGCAGGUGGAAAGCAGAAUGAACAGUGGAUGAAGGCACAGCCUGGGCAAGCGCGGUGGAGAUGAACGAGUGACCUUCCUCCUGCCCAUUCCAAUCCCGGCCCUCAGACACACUGCAGGGGCCACCGGGCCUCCCCGCCCCACGCCUGCCUCAUCUCAGCUGGGCACACAGAGUCCUCAACCCCAGCUGGAAGUAUAUCAGGGACCUGUGAUAACCAAAGGCGAUACGGGUUGUGGGGUGCAGUCGGAGACCUCAGACCUUAUCAUUUUG
rnacentral:lncRNA from 1 species